UACGUAGGGUGCAAGCGUUGUCCGGAAUUAUUGGGCGUAAAGAGCUCGUAGGCGGUCUGUCACGUCGGCUGUGAAAACCCGAGGCUCAACCUCGGGCCUGCAGUCGAUACGGGCAAACUGGAGUACUGCAGGGGAGACUGGAAUUCCUGGUGUAGCGGUGAAAUGCGCAGAUAUCAGGAGGAACACCGGUGGCGAAGGCGGGUCUCUGGGCAGUAAACUGACGCU
rnacentral:rRNA from 1 species